AAGUCGGAACAAGGUUUCCGUAGGUGAACCUGCGGAAGGAUCAUUAACACGUAUCCAACGUUAAACAACCCUGUGAACUUUCAACACCGCCGGAAUGAGAUUAAUUUCCAACUCCGGUGAAGGACCACAUCAAAGCUCUGACAGAGUGCCUCUGGAUCGUGAUUGAAGGGUGACGCAGUAACGAUCGCUGGAGGCCCACACGGCCGGCGACUGGGUCAGCGAGCUAACGCUCCCUCAACAACCACUUAACAUGACGACAGUUCCUCUUUAACUUGAGUUGAGCUAUAACAAAAAACUAUACACAAUGGAUAUCUUGGUUCUC
rnacentral:misc_RNA from 1 species